rnacentral:antisense_RNA from 1 species
ACUGAAGAGCCAAGAAGAAUCUGAACAGACAGGACUAGCUGGGUUUAGAUCAUUCCCUUUUGGUCCAGUCACAUUUCAACAUGGUUGUCCAUGCUUCAGUCAUGCCUAUCCAAGAAGUCUUCAUAAAAGGCCCAAGAGGACAGGGUUCAGGAAGUUUUGGAGACCUGAACACAUGGAGGCUGACAGGAAGGUGGGAAGAUCACCUGAGCCGGGAGAGGUGGAGGCUGCUGUCAGUCAAGAUCAUGCCACUGCUCUCCAGCCUGGAUGACAGAGAAAAACCCUGUCUCAAAAAAAAAAAAAGUACUUAAACACUAAAGAAAAUUGGAAAAGAGACAACAGCCCACAAAGCUGCUUAAAUUGGAAAGCAAAUGGGAAAACGAUGACGAAAUUAGCAGAUGGGAGAAAGCUUAGUCCUAAAAGGGAAGUGAGGUAAGCUGAUAAGCAAACUCAUCUAAGCUGCGGAAAGACCCAAAGACAAGGAACUGGCGGCACCAUGUGCCUUUGGACACGGGGACGUGAGAGUAAAACAUGGACGCUGGUUGAAAAUCUGUUGAAAACGCAGUGGAACUUCAGGAAUUUCUUCCCC